CAUACGAACCACCAUGCUUGGCGGCCGGAGAAUCGAUUCGAUUCAGAAGCUAAAAGCUACGUGCUGGUGACUGAUCGAUCAUGAGCAAUAACGGCCUGGAUCGUGCGCGCAUGCAGAAAGGCAGAAAUAAAGCAAGCAUUCAGUCUCCAUUGAUUUGCAAAGAAGCAGGGAAUAAGAAGACAGUAGCUAGCAGCCGGUUGCAAGCUAAGGCUGACCCGCCGGUCGUCGUCUGAAUGAAAACUUGUCUCGUUGUAAAGACUGUGUAUUUUCUCU
rnacentral:lncRNA from 1 species